CCUACGGGUGGCUGCAGUGGGGAAUAUUGGACAAUGGGCGCAAGCCUGAUCCAGCAAUGCCGCGUGGGUGAAGAAGGUCUUCGGAUUGUAAAGCCCUUUCGGCGGGGACGAUGAUGACGGUACCCGCAGAAGAAGCCCCGGCUAACUUCGUGCCAGCAGCCGCGGUAAUACGAAGGGGGCUAGCGUUGCUCGGAAUUACUGGGCGUAAAGGGCGCGUAGGCGGCGCCGUCGGUCAGGCGUGAAAUUCCUGGGCUUAACCUGGGGGCUGCGCUUGAUACAGCGGUGCUUGAGGACGGAAGAGGCUCGCGGAAUUCCCAGUGUAGAGGUGAAAUUCGUAGAUAUUGGGAAGAACACCGGUGGCGAAGGCGGCGAGCUGGUCCGUUACUGACGCUGAGGCGCGACAGCGUGGGGAGCAAACAGGAUUAGAUACCCGAGUAGUC
rnacentral:rRNA from 1 species